GGGUUGUGAGGUUAAUCGACUAAGCGUACACGGUGGAUGCCCUGGCAGUCAGAGGCGAUGAAGGGCGUGCUAAUCUGCGAUAAGCGCCGGUAAGGUGAUAUGAACCGUUAUAACCGGCGAUACCCGAAUGGGGAAACCCAGUGUGACUCGUCACACUAUCAUUAACUGAAUCCAUAGGUUAAUGAGGCGAACCGGGGGAACUGAAACAUCUAAGUACCCCGAGGAAAAGAAAUCAACCGAGAUUCCCCCAGUAGCGGCGAGCGAACGGGGAGGAGCCCAGAGCCUGAAUCAGCAUGUGUGUUAGUGGAAGCGUCUGGAAAGGCGCGCGAUACAGGGUGACAGCCCCGUACACAAAAGCGCAUGUGCUGUGAGCUCGAUGAGUAGGGCGGGACACGUGGUAUCCUGUCUGAAUAUGGGGGGACCAUCCUCCAAGGCUAAAUACUCCUGACUGACCGAUAGUGAACCAGUACCGUGAGGGAAAGGCGAAAAGAACCCCGGCGAGGGGAGUGAAAAAGAACCUGAAACCGUGUACGUACAAGCAGUGGGAGCACAGGUUUACCUGUGUGACUGCGUACCUUUUGUAUAAUGGGUCAGCGACUUAUAUUCUGUAGCAAGGUUAACCGAAUAGGGGAGCCGGAGGGAAACC
rnacentral:rRNA from 1 species